UACGUAGGGUGCGAGCGUUGUCCGGAAUUAUUGGGCGUAAAGAGCUCGUAGGCGGUGUGUCACGUCGGCCGUGAAAACCUGGGGCUUAACUCUGGGCGUGCGGUCGAUACGGGGCAUCACUAGAGUUCGGCAGGGGGAGACUGGAAUUCCUGGUGUAGCGGUGAAAUGCGCAGAUAUCAGGAGGAACACCGGUGGCGAAGGC
rnacentral:rRNA from 1 species